rnacentral:rRNA from 1 species
GAUGAACGCUGGCGGCGUGCCUAAUACAUGCAGGUCGAGCGAACGGACGAGAAGCUUGCUUCUCUGAUGUUAGCGGCGGACGGGUGAGUAACACGUGGAUAACCUACCUAUAAGACUGGGAUAACUUCGGGAAACCGUAGCUAAUACCGGAUAAUAUUUUGAACCGCAUGGUUCAAAAGUGAAAGACGGUCUUGCUGUCACUUAUAGAUGGAUCCGCGCUGCAUUAGCUAGUUGGUAAGGUAACGGCUUACCAAGGCAACGAUGCAUAGCCGACCUGAGAGGGUGAUCGGCCACACUGGAACUGAGACACGGUCCAGACUCCUACGGGAGGCAGCAGUAGGGAAUCUUCCGCAAUGGGCGAAAGCCUGACGGAGCAACGCCGCGUGAGUGAUGAAGGUCUUCGGAUCGUAAAACUCUGUUAUUAGGGAAGAACAUAUGUGUAAGUAACUGUGCACAUCUUGACGGUACCUAAUCAGAAAGCCACGGCUAACUACGUG